ensembl:lncRNA
AUAUUGGCUGUGCUCACACCGAGCGUCAGUGAGACAUCUGGCUGCCUGGUGGUGGAGGGGACAGGCACAAGGACAGUCUGGAUGCCAUUACGGGGAGAGCUACUCUUUUGGAGCUGUCUUUGACUUGUCCUUCAGUUGGCCACGGUGGGUGGAACCGUCAGGAGGCGCAGGGAAGGCACAGAUCUCAAAGAACUUCAUGAAUGAGAUGAGAAGCUCUCUUCCUGUGCCUCAAUUAGUUCUGAGUAACAAGAUGAGCUCCU